rnacentral:rRNA from 1 species
GAGUUUGAUCCUGGCUCAGGACGAACGCUGGCGGCGUGCCUAAUACAUGCAAGUUGAACGGUGAUUUCUGGUACUUGUAUCAGAAUGAAGUGUAGCGAACGGGUGAGUAACGCGUGGGUAACCUACCUCUUAGCGGGGGACAACUAUUGGAAACGAUAGCUAAUACCGCAUAACAAUAUUAAACACAUGUUUAACAUUUGAAAGUACUAAUUGGUACACUAGGAGAUGGACCCGCGUUGUAUUAGCUAGUUGGUAGUGUAAUGGACUACCAAGGCGAUGAUACAUAGCCGACCUGAGAGGGUGAUCGGCCACAUUGGGACUGAGACACGGCCCAAACUCCUACGGGAGGCAGCAGUAGGGAAUCUUCGGCAAUGGACGAAAGUCUGACCGAGCAACGCCGCGUGAGUGAAGAAGGUUUUCGGAUCGUAAAACUCUGUUGUUAGAGAAGAACGUUGUGUAGAGUGGAAAAUUACACAAGUGACGGUAUCUAACCAGAAAGGGACGGCUAACUACGUGCCAGCAGCCGCGGUAAUACGUAGGUCCCGAGCGUUGUCCGGAUUUAUUGGGCGUAAAGCGAGCGCAGGUGGUUUAAUAAGUCUGAUGUAAAAGGCAGUGGCUCAACCAUUGUGUGCAUUGGAAACUGUUAGACUUGAGUGCAGUAGAGGAGAGUGGAAUUCCAUGUGUAGCGGUGAAAUGCGUAGAUAUAUGGAGGAACACCGGUGGCGAAAGCGGCUCUCUGGACUGUAACUGACACUGAGGCUCGAAAGCGUGGGUAGCAAACAGGAUUAGAUACCCUGGUAGUCCACGCCGUAAACGAUGAGUGCUAGUUGUUUGGGGCUAUCCAGCCCUAAGUGACGCAGCAAACGCAUUAAGCACUCUGCCUG